CUGGCUCAGAACGAACGCUGGCGGCAGGCUUAACACAUGCAAGUCGAGCGCCCCGCAAGGGGAGCGGCAGACGGGUGAGUAACGCGUGGGAAUCUACCCUUUUCUACGGAAUAACGCAUGGAAACGUGUGCUAAUACCGUAUGAGCCCUUCGGGGGAAAGAUUUAUCGGGAAAGGAUGAGCCCGCGUUGGAUUAGCUAGUUGGUGGGGUAAAGGCCUACCAAGGCGACGAUCCAUAGCUGGUCUGAGAGGAUGAUCAGCCACAUUGGGACUGAGACACGGCCCAAACUCCUACGGGAGGCAGCAGUGGGGAAUAUUGGACAAUGGGCGCAAGCCUGAUCCAGCCAUGCCGCGUGAGUGAUGAAGGCCCUAGGGUUGUAAAGCUCUUUCACCGGUGAAGAU
rnacentral:rRNA from 1 species